rnacentral:rRNA from 1 species
GAUGAACGCUGGCGGCGUGCCUAAUACAUGCAAGUCGAGCGAACAGACGAGGAGCUUGCUCCUCUGACGUUAGCGGCGGACGGGUGAGUAACACGUGGAUAACCUACCUAUCAGACUGAGAUCACUUCGGGAAACCGGAGCUAAUACCGGAUAAUAUAUUGAACCGCAUGGUUCAAUAGUGAAAGACGGUUUUGCUGUCACUUAUAGAUGGAUCCGCGCCGCAUUAGCUAGUUGUUAAGGUAACGGCUUACCACGGCAACGAUGCGUAGCCGACCUGAGAGGGUGAUCGGCCACCCUGGAACGGAGACACGGUCCAGACUCCUACGGGAGGCAGCAGUAGGGAAUCUUCCGCAAUGGGCGAAAGCCUGACGGAGCAACGCCGCGUGAGUGAUGAAGGUCUUCGGAUCGUAAAACUCUGUUAUUAGGGAAGAACAAAUGUGUAAGUAACUAUGCACGUCUUGACGGUACCUAAUCAGAAAGCCACGGCUAACUACGUG